GACGAACCGUGCGAACGUUAUUCGGAAUCACUGGGCUUAAAGCGCGUGUAGGCGGGACGGCACGUCUGUCGCUGAAAUCCCCCGGCUCAACCGGGGAACGGGCGCGGAUACGACCGUCCGUGGAGGGGCGUAGGGGGACCUGGAACUUCCGGUGGAGCGGUGAAAUGCGUUGAGAUCGGAAGGAACGCCCGUGGCGAAAGCGAGGUCCUGGACGCCUACUGACGCUGAGACGGCGAAAAGCCAGGGGAGCGAACGGG
rnacentral:rRNA from 1 species